GAUAACCGGCUUGUGGUGACCAAGCGUUCAUUGCGAUGUCGCUUUUUGAUCCUUUGAUGUCAGCUCUUCCUAUCAUUGUGAAGACAGGCAGAAAGCUGUAGUGAUUUGGGUUUGAUGUAAAUAAGGGGUAGAAUGUCCUGGUUUUGUUAAAAACAAAAC
rnacentral:ncRNA from 1 species